AAGCAAGCAAGCAUUCAAGCAUUGUAAAGCUUUCAUACAAUCAAUACAAGUUUCCCUUCUUAAACUCUUUCGAGUUCUAGCCAAGUGUUGUGUGCUAGUUAGGCUGACUUAGCGCAAGGAGAAGCUAAGGCCGCACGAGAGCUUUAAGGAAAAGAUAAGCCCGUGACAUACGUCUAAGUUAAACUUGGGGGUGGCAGUCUUCUUUUCGUUUCUCACAAACAGGUUUAUUUUGUCCUGUUUGGAAAGAACGCAGAGUUUCUGGGCUCUGGAACAUUAAUGGGUUCGUGUACGACUCAUUUUCUUCUGUGGGUACUCGUUAAUACCGUCUGCUGCUUAUUAACUGCUUGUGGUUACCGCAGGGCCCUAAGAUCAAAAUAUAACCUCCAGGUAUACUAAAAUGUGAUAUAUUUUGCUUUUAGUUUUUUGUUUAUUAGUGCUAUUUUUUUUUUUUGGUUAUGCUUAUUCAAGUAAAUAUAUGCUCUUGUUGCAUAUGCUAUUUCAAUAAGUUAGGGUUCGAUAGUGUCCAAUUCUGCUGUUGCAGUUUAUUCGCAGCGAUUUGUAUAACAAAAUGCGAUGGAGAAUCCUGAUGUAUUUUUGAAUUUUAAUCAGUCCACUAGGAAGGGAGUUACGUGGGAUUAUGGCUUCAUAUGUAUAGUGCUGGAGAAUCCCGAUGUAUAUCUUGGUUGCAUUAUUUUGAUAAUUUUACGGUUCACUUGGAAGGGAAGAACGGUCAUACAGUGCUGAUAAAUCUGUGGACCAACUGCUUUCCUUUUCUUUUGCUUGAUUUUGUAGGAAACACCAUGUGGAGAUUUCGUUACUCAUUUUUUCUGCCAUCUGUGUGCAAUUUGCCAUUAGUACAGGGAGAUCCGUGAAAAGUCUGCUGAAUCUGGCCCUGGUGAUCUAAAUCUAGCCAUAGUUACAGCCCCAGCAGUCCAGACAAUGGAACCAGGGCUUGACAAGUAAUGCUCAGUUUUAUUACCUCUGCACAGACAGGUGCAGGAUCAGCAUCUGCUUUCAGUAACGCUCUUCACGCCCUUUAAUGGAUAUUGUUAGUGAAGUCCGACAUAGUUAUCUUUUGGACU